rnacentral:sRNA from 1 species
UUUUAGCCCCUAUAGAAGUGGAAAUCUUUUUAUCUGCCAAAGAGAAAAAAGAUUGAAACGGAUUGCUUCGC